rnacentral:rRNA from 11 species
UCCAAUGGCCGUACUGCCCGGAUCGCAAUGCAUCUCAUCUGAUUUUUGGCUUAGCUAAGUGGGAUCGGGCUGGUUUGUACCUAGAUGGGAGACCACUGGCGGAAAAUACUCAGUUUUUGGAU